rnacentral:rRNA from 1 species
UACGUAGGGCGCAAGCGUUGUCCGGAAUUAUUGGGCGUAAAGAGCUCGUAGGCGGCUUGUCACGUCGGUUGUGAAAGCCCGGGGCUUAACCCCGGGUCUGCAGUCGAUACGGGCUAGCUAGAGUGUGAUAGGGGAGAUCGGAAUUCCUGGUGUAGCGGUGAAAUGCGCAGAUAUCAGGAGGAACACCGGUGGCGAAGGCGGAUCUCUGGGCCAUUACUGACGCUGAGGAGCGAAAGCGUGGGGAGCGAACAGG